GGACAAUGGGACAGGCUGGACAAUGGGACAGGCUGGACAAUGGGAUGGGCUGGACAAUGGGAUGGACGGGACAAUGGGAUGGACCGGACAACGGGACAGGCCGGACAGCAGGACAGGCCAAAGAACGGGAUGGGCUGGACAACGGGAUGGGCCGCACGGACAGCGGGACAGGCUGGACAAUGGGACAGGCCGGAGAACGGGAUGGGCCAGAGAACGGGACGGGCCAGACAACGAGCCAGACGCUCCCCAGGAACGGGACUGGGAUUUGGGAUUUGGGAUUCUCCUCAACGCCGGCAGCUCCCGGUCCCGCCCGAACGGGGCCGCGCCCUCGUGGGUUGUGCCUGCAGAGUUGUGGGGUUGGCGCCAAAGUUUUGGGGUCCUGGCGUUGUCCCAAAAGGUUUUGGGUCCUGGUGUUGCCCAAAAAAGCUUUGGGGUCUUGGCAUUGUCACCAAAAUUUGUGGGGUUCCAGCAUUGUCCCCAAAAUUUUGGGGUCCUGAGGUUGUCCCCAGAAGUUUUGGGGUCCUGGCGUUGUCCCCAGGGUGUCCCCAAAGGUGGACGUGACACACAGGGGACACAGCCCCCCCCCCCAGACUGUCCCCGCCCGGCUGGCACCAGGAUGAGCCAGACUUCAGGAUUUGGGACUUCAGGAUUUGGGAUUUUGGGGUUCCGGGACCAUUCCCGGCCGAUGGAAUCCUCGCUCUGCCAUAUAAACUCAUUAAUUAAUGCCAAUUAAAGACGUUUCCUACAA